rnacentral:sRNA from 1 species
GCCGGGCGUGGUGGCACACGCCUGUAAUCCCAGCUACUCAGGGGGCUGAGGCAGGAGAAUCGCUUGAACCCAGGAGGUGUAGGUUGCAGUGAGCUGAGAUCACACCACUGCACUCCAGCCUGGGCGACAGAGCGAGACUCUGUCUCAA